CACCGCCCGUCACACCAUGGGAGUCGAUUGCUCCAGAAGUGCCUGAGCCAACCGCAAGGAGGCAGGCCCAAGGAGUGAUCGGUAACUGGGUG
rnacentral:rRNA from 1 species